GUGCUCGCUUCAGUAGCACAUACACUAAAAUUGGAAUGAUACAGAGAAGAUUAGCAUGGCCCCUGUGCAAGGAUGACACGCAAAUUCGUGAAGCAUUCCAUAUUUUA
rnacentral:snRNA from 1 species